rnacentral:lncRNA from 1 species
GGCGCACCGCUGGCCGCACUGGGCCGGCUUCAUCCGAACCCCGGGAACCCCCGGGAGGCCCAUCUCGCUGCCCUGGGGCCCUGAGACGGCCAUGAGGCCUGGGCAGCUCCACCAGCAGAGGCCUGCAGGGCGGCCCGGGCGGCCCGCAGCUCCCGCCUCCCCGGGCCUUUGUCCACCACCCUCACACGCGGCCCAGCCGCCGGGGCUGCGCAGCUCUGAGCUCGCCCGGAAUGCUGGAGCCCAGGCCCUCCCGAAACCCUCCACCGAGACCCACCACCUUACCGCCUCUGCCCCGGGGCAAGCCUGUGAGAGGCUGCGUCAGACCGGGUCACUGUCCACGGAAAACCUUCGCUCAGACAGGUCUCCACCAGUCUGGAAGCUCCAGGAGGCCAAGCCUGUGUUCUGCUGGCUGCUGUAUUCCAGGGGCCAGCAGAGUGCCUGAGUGUCCAGGGGUUCAGUAUUUGUGAAAUGGAGGAACGCGUCACCUUAUUACCAAGGCUGAGCCAAGUCUCUGAAACAAGCUCCUGUGGCUCGUGGUUUAACAUGCUCCAUCUGCUCCCAGCCUCUGCCCCAUGUGCCCUCCUCCUAGAACCUCUCCCUCUCGUCUCUGGAUAUUCAGAUUCUUCCAGUUUUCAAAGCCAGGCUCCAGUCAGAGCCUCAUCCAAGAAGCCUCUCCUGCCAGCCCCAGGCCAGUGCCUUGACAUCCUGCAGCCCCUCCUGGCCACUGGGUGUUUCUGGCUCUUCCGCUGGCCUGGAGGCGCCCCCGCCCCACUGCGGGCCAGCAGGUGUAGCUGAGAGAUCACAGACGGGUCGGGCGGGAAGGAGGCAGGAGGGGCAGGUCCCUACUGGGAGGGGGCUGGGGACGGGAUUAACAGCAGCCUUCCAGCCUCCCAAACCCAGCUGGUUCUGGAAAUGAGGGGCUGGAAAAUGUCAGCCUCAACCCUGGUCCAUCCCCCAGCUCUUCCCGGCGGGUGUUGGGGAGGGCGCCAGUCCUGGGCCUCGCUCCCCCAGGAGCUCAGGGCGCCCAGGAAGGAGUCGGGGGAGCGGGGAAUAAAUAGAGGGAAGGGACAGCCUCUGCCUGUCCUCCCCCUUCCCACCCUCCCCCUGCAGGGUGACAAGACAUUUAAUUAUAGAUAUUCGGUACCGCUCAGAAUUCCAAACGUCCUAGUCGCCUCCCCUCCCAGAACCAGUUUCCAUGGAAAAAUCAGAGCAAAGAGCCAAGGAGGGAAAGGAGAGAACCCCACCUCCUGUGGGUUCCUUGCCAAGGAGAGACGGAGAGAAGAAAGGUGACAAAGAGCCACAGCCGGCUGGCCCUGCAAGGCGGGAGCCGGAGGCAGGGGUGGGGGCCGGGGCAGGGUGGUGCAUGGACCUGGCUCUGCCCUGCCCACGAGUGACCCCAAAGUCGGCACUCUCCUUUCUGAGCCUUGAAGCUCUUCCCAUGGCAAACCCAGGCCCCAGUGAAUUAAAUGAGUACCGGGAAGGUGUUCAGGCGGCUGGGGGGGUGCAGGGGACGGCCCCCCGACCCUGCGGCACUCCUCAGAUGGCGGGUCAAUUCCACCAAGAAACAGGGACCCCCUGGGCCCCUUCACCACUAAGACGCUUGAUGAGCUCGUCAAGCCGUGAGGAUCUAGGGUCUGCGCCUCCAAGAACGCGGCCGGGUGAGGUUCUCACAGCUUUCACAUUUGAAGAGUGAAACCUCCAGAGUGUUGGGCAUACAGUCAGUGUUUAAUAAAUGUUAGCCACUGUUCCUAUU